CAGUAGCCGCGGUAAUACGUAGGGUGCGAGCGUUAAUCGGAAUUACUGGGCGUAAAGCGUGCGCAGGCGGUUCGUUAAGACAGAUGUGAAAUCCCCGGGCUUAACCUGGGAACUGCAUUUGUGACUGACGGGCUAGAGUAUGGCAGAGGGGGGUAGAAUUCCACGUGUAGCAGUGAAAUGCGUAGAGAUGUGGAGGAAUACCGAUGGCGAAGGCAGCCCCCUGGGCCAAUACUGACGCUCAUGCACGAAAGCGUGGGGAGCAAACAGGAUUAGAUACCCCAGUAGUCCCUGUCUCUUAUAA
rnacentral:rRNA from 1 species